rnacentral:rRNA from 1 species
AGUGAACGCUGGCGGUAGGCCUAACACAUGCAAGUCCAACUGCAGCACCUUAAUUUCUUGCUCUUACGGGUGGCGAGUGGCGGACGGGUGAGGAAUACAUCGGAAUCUACUUUUUCGUGGGGGAUAACGCAGGGAAACUUACGCUAAUACCGCAUACUACCUACUGGUGAAAGCAUGGGAUCUUCGGACCUUGCGCGAGUGAGUGAGCCGAUGUCGGACUAGCUAGUUGGCUGGGUAAAGGCCCACCAAGGCGACGAUCCGUAGCUGGUCUGAGAGGAUGGUCGGCCACACUGGAACCUAGACACGGUCCAGACUACAACGGGAAGCAGCAGUGGGCAAUAUUGGACAAUGGGCGCCAGCCUGAUCCAGCGAUAGGGCGUGGGUAAAGAAGGCCUUCGCGUUGGAAAGCACUUUGGUUGGGAAAGAAAAGCAGUAGGUUAAUACCCCGCUGUUCUGACGGUACCCAACGAAUAAGCACCGGCUAACUUCGUG